ACAGUUAUGCCACACGAUGGCGACAGAGGGCAGCUGCUCAACAAGUGUCCUCCACACUCUCUCAUCUGAGCACAGAUGGAUUUGGUGUGCGUAAUGUUGGACCCACUGGUAAGACAAACACCCUUUUCCACAAAUAAAGACACUCACAUAAAGUUGCAUAUAUUCAAACCUCACGUGACAAAGGUGGGUUUAGCGCACAGAUCACAACAUAAACUCCAAAAAUGGCAUUAAAAUCGGAACCAUCUGUGCGUAAAUGACGCAUCGCGCUCCGUGGCCUGGCUCUUUCUUUCAUAGAUGUUGGCAUAUAAAAUAAAUUUGGCCCA
rnacentral:lncRNA from 1 species